rnacentral:rRNA from 15 species
AGCGGAGGAAAAGAAACUAACAAGGAUUCCCCUAGUAACGGCGAGUGAAGAGGGAUCAGCCCAAAUUUGUAAUCUGGCUCUUUCAGAGCUGAGUUGUAAUUUCAAGAACUGUUUUCUGCUCUGGACCAUGUACAAGUCUGUUGAAAUGCAGCAUCAUUGAGGGUGAGAAUCCUGUUUAUGAUAUGGACUACCAGUGCUCUAUGAUACAGUCUCUAAGAGUCGAGUUGUUUGGGAAUGCAGCUCAAAGUGGGUGGUAAAUUCCAUCUAAGGCUAAAUAUUGGUGAGAGACCGAUAGCAAACAAGUACCGUGAGGGAAAGAUGAAAAGAACUUUGGAAAGAGAGUUAACAGUACGUGAAAUUGUUAAAAGGGAAACAGUUGAAGUUAGACUUGUUGUUGUUGGUUCAGCUCUUUAAGGGUGUUUUCUGAUAAUUAACAAACCAACAUCAAUCUUUGGGUGUUGGAUAAGGGUCAUUGAAAUGUAGCAGUCUUGGCUGUGUUAUAGUCAUUGACUUGGAUACAAUGCCUAGGAUUGAGGAUUGCAGUAAGCCAUUUAUUUGGUGGGACAAUU